CGAUGUAAAUAAAGUACCUACCUACCUACGCCACCUGUAGCUACUACGUCUCCAUGAAAGUUCUAAGCUUGUUUUAAAUCGCACAGACAUGCGCAGCAGCAAGCUUACUUACCAAAACAAACAAUCUGAAGUCUUUGUGAUUCAAGAUUUUAUGUAUUAUUUAGUCUUUCUGAAAUGAAUUUAAGACAUUGUCUCUUCUUAUAAAUAUUGUUCGGAAUUUGGAUAAGUGCUCCUACUUUUAAUGAUGUAGCUGAUGAAGAUCAGGUUGAGUUUAAAUUUUUUUGUAUUCUGUGAUCAGCAUGUGGUAUCCAGAUCUUUGUAGCUAUUUGAAUAGUUUUUAGGGCAAUAUUUGAGAGAAGAAUUCAGAGGAAGGAUUUCUGGCUUAUUUAGAAGAUGUGAUUGGCUGUUGCAAAUUAUGACGUCAUGAAGCAAAGGAAUCUUGUAGAGUUGCUGUUGAUUGGGAGUUUUCUUUAAAGAAUAAUUGCUGCGUGUGGGCAGCUCCAAAUAUAUCUUAAUGAAUGCAGAAUAUACUUUAAACUCUCCUUAUAAUGGUUCUACAAAAUGAGAGUGAACUACUUAUUCACACAUUUUGCGAAAAGCUUACAAAACCACCUUCCUCAAAAAUGGCUGCAGUUUGCCUGAAAGUGUUGCAAAAUUUAUUUGCUGGUAUAGGAGAAAACUCUUCUGUGUUAUGAUGUCUAUUACAAUUGGGUUCGAGUAACUAGACAAACUGAGAUGGCAUUCACAUGGUGUUUAAAGAUUUAAGUAAAUUAAAGUCAUGGUUAACUGACCUGAAUGUGAGUACUGAGAAACUCCAGAAACUGCUAUGUCUUUUGCUAGGUUUGAAGUAUUGCUUGAGUCAAAGGUUGUGUAACUGGUUUACCUGCAUUGAAUAGGAACAGUAUUAGAUUCAAAUUGAGUUGGCUGCCAAAGUAAGGAUUGAAUUACUUGGAACUUACACUGAAGACAAUGCUUCUCAAGUUGGAGAUGAUACUCAUAAGAAGAUGCCGGAGGUGUUACUCAUUUAACGUUACCCAGUGGGCACCUGUGAACCUAAGUCAUGGAGGCGAGUAACAUUACCCACGCCACACUGCCACAUACCCGUUUAUAGGGUGGACCACAUUCACACAUCACACAAUAGAGAACACCCACAAAGAGAAACAUCCAUGCCCUGAGCGGGAUUCGAACCCGCUACCAUUGGCUUCACAGUCAGGCACGCUGACCGCUCGGCCACCUGGCCGGCAUGCUAUUCAUGUGACCAUUGGUACCACUCUUCAGGACUGAAGUGAGUCUUGAGAAAAAGUGUAUUGUGACCUCCCUUGGUGAUCCCAAUACAUUUUAAUGGACCACCUACUGGCCCUAGAACCUGUACGUUUCCUGGAAGGAGAAUUAAUUCAUAAUUUCCUCACCAUAUUUGUAUCAUUCUACUUGACUUUUGAUGCUGUCACCAAAGAUUUUGUGAACUCUUUAGGAUUUUGAAUAAUGUCAAGCAUUGUUUGUUGCAGUUGUUUUAUUGAAGUUCUUCAGAACUCUUCUAAGGUUAAGUGCAAGCGAUUCUAUGGGGACAAAGAUAUUUAAAUUCUCUGUUGUCUUUAUUAUAUUUAAAAUUGAAUGUGAAAUAUAAAUAGAAAUUUGUGCCAUUUUUGUAUUGUUUAUGGAUAUGUCUUUGUAUGAAAAUAA